UACGUAGGGGGCCAGCGUUGUCCGGAUUCAUUGGGCGUAAAGCGCGUGUAGGCGGCCAGGUAGGUCCGAUGUGAAAUCUGGAGGCUCAACCUCCAGCGGUCAUUGGAAACCAUCUGGCUAGAGUCCGGAAGAGGAGAGUGGAAUUCCACGUGUAGCGGUGAAAUGCGUAGAGAUGUGGAGGAACACCAGUGGCGAAGGCGACUCUUUGGCCUGUAACUGACGCUGAGGCGCGAAAGCGUGGGGAGCAAACAGG
rnacentral:rRNA from 1 species